GGUUCUAUAGUGUAGCGGUCAUCACAUCGGAUUCUGAUCUUCCUGUCAGAAGCGAUUUCCGGGAACCCCGGUUCGAUUCCGGGUAGGACCU